rnacentral:sRNA from 1 species
ACCUGCUCGAGUGAGGCUGGGAGCGGACCGCUGCCCGCUGGAGGUGCCGGGGGCGAAAUGCUGGCGUCUAAAUGCUGGCGUCUCCUCCUUCCUCUCCCAGAAUCCUUCCUUGGAAAAAAACAAGCGCCAACCGCAAGUUUAACUGAGGACCGAUUUAAGGCAUUACGAAAGACACCACAACACAUACGUGUAUCUUCCUUGGGCUAUCUUCCCUGCUCUGCCACACCGGGUCUGGAGAAGGGGUUUCAGCCCCAGGACAUUUACUGAGAGUCGGCGAGUAUUGGGCAUUACUAGGGACGUGAAUGGGAGACUGGUAUAGAAAGUGGUGAGGAGCCAAAGACAAGAAAUUGCUUUAAACACAAGAUGAAAAUGCUCUGUUCUGUCCACACAAAGAAUCACCUAAUACUGGUGUGAGGCAUCUCACUUAGCUGUGGAGAAGUCCUUGGAAUUAGAUCUCAGAAAGACAGUUCCAGCUUUAAGACAGUAAAACCUUUAGGCAAUGGGCUAAUUG